AUGUGUCUGGUGGAGGGGCGGGGCUACCUUUAUAACAUGCUGUGGUACAAACAGGUCCGCUACGGUGGCCCGGUAGUGUUCCGCAUAAAGGAAUACGAUGCCCCUACGGGCCAGUACCAGGUGACCUUGGGCCCGACAGGGAACAGCUUCGUCCUGCAGGUCUCAGACCUGGUUGUGGAGGACACUGCUGUUUACUACUGCGCAGCCAAGGGAUACCCAGCAUACUUUGGACCUGGAACCAAACUAACUGUUCUGGAUCCAAAUAAUGAAAUUACUAAACCCAAUGUGAAGAUCCUGCCCCCCUCCUCUCAGGAGGGUAAAGGCAAGGGGGAGAAGAAGACCCUGGUGUGUGUGGCCACUGAUUUCUACCCUGACCAUGUCACUGUGUCCUGGAAGAUAAAUGAAGACAAAGUUGUUGAGGGAGUGGGGACUGAUAGCAUGGCUAAAUGGGAUGACAACACCAAGAAAUACAGCAUCACAAGCAGACUGAGAGUCCUGAACAAAAAGUGGCACAAAGAGUCCAACACCUUCACAUGCACUGUUGACUUCUUCAAUGGACAAAGUAAUGAAAAUGUGACUGACUCUAUAAACGGAAGCUCCGAAGGUGCUGAACAUGAUGCAUUUAACGUUGAAAACCUUGUGAAGAGCUCAGUUUUUGCCAAACUGGCCUACAUCAUCGUCAUCGCUAAGAGUACAUUCUACGGGCUAGUCAUCACGGCUCUAUUUUGGAAGUUCCACGGCUCCUCAGAGAAACGUUGUAACUGAUCACUGGCCAAGAUCCAUCAGUCCAUGGAAGUUGGGCUCACUAAACUGGUUCCACAAACACACAUUUCCUUUAUGUGAUUAUAUUGUACAUUUUGCUUAGUUUCUGAACUACUAUUAUGAUGUUCUUUAUAAUUUCCUAUGAAUGUAACCUUGCAAUAUUUGUCUAUGUAUGUUGUUGUAAUUCAUUUUUCCAUUAAAUUACAACACAAAGGCACAUCA